GACGAACGCUGGCGGCGUGCUUCAUACAUGCAAGUCGAACGAGAAGGUGACUUCGGUCAGUGGAACGUGGCUGACGGGCGAGUAAUAAGUAGGAAAUCUGCCUUUAGGAGGGUGACAACAAAGGGAAACUUAUGCUAAUACCUCAUAUGAGCGUAGCUGAAAUGCUAUUCUUGAAAACUCAGGUGCCUAAAGAUGGGCCUGCAUCCGGUUAGUUAGUUGGUAGUGUAAUGGACAACCAAGGCCACGAUCAGUAGCUGGAUUGGGAGGAUGACCAGAUACGAUGGGACUGACACACGACCCAUAUACCGACGGGAGGCGGCAGGAGGGAAGUAUGCGCAACGGACGAAAGACGGACGAAGGACCGGCGCGUGAACGAGUAAGUCCGUCGGUGUGUAAAGUUCUGUCAGUGGGAACGGAACUUGACGGUAACCAGAGAGGAAGCACCGGCUAACUCCGUG
rnacentral:rRNA from 1 species